GCGCCGGUGGUGUAAGGGAGUCGCCCAGGUCAGCAGGAGGCGCGGGUUCGAGUCCCGCCUGGCGCU
rnacentral:tRNA from 1 species